AUUGAACGCUAGCGGGAUGCUUUACACAUGCAAGUCGAACGAGUGGCGGACGGGUGAGUAAUAUAUCGGAACGUGCCCAGUAGCGGGGGAUAACUACUCGCAAAAGUGGCUAAUACCGCCUACUAUUGGAGCGGCCGAUAUCGGAUUAGCUAGUUGGUGGGGUAAAGGCUCACCAAGGCAACGAUCCGUAGCUGGUGUUAGGGGGCGACCAGUCACACUGUGACUGAGACAAGGCCCAGAAUCCGACGUGAGGCAGUAGUGGGGAAUUUUGGACAAUGGUGGAAACCCUGAUCCAGCCAUCCCGCGUGUAUGAGAAGGCCUUCGGGUUGUAAAGUACUUUUGGCAGAGAAGCGGAAUCUGCAGAAUAAGCACCGGCUAACUACGUGCAAGCAGCCGCGGUAAUAA
rnacentral:rRNA from 1 species